UUUCUCUCGCAAAGAGAUUAAGAAAUACUUAGUUUCCUGUCUACAAUCAUAGUAAUCUUCCAAGAAUCUGUGCUGAAUUCUGAUGGAUCGAUGGUGGAUUGGAGAUUAAGCCACAACGUAUCCAUGUUCAAGAAGGAGUCUGGGUUUUUUCUUCAACAUGAGGUACUUUAAAGACAGUAUAAUGGCUGGUGAAUGGGACGAUGUCGAGAAUUACCUUUACAGAGAAAUUACGAUCUUACCCAUUUGAUUUAAUUAAAGAUUGUUAAAAAGAAAAAAGACCAAUGUGCGAUGAACAUAAGUAGAUGGAGUAUUUGAAAACGAUUUUACCA